rnacentral:misc_RNA from 1 species
AAAUAAUUCCUUUGUAAGUAAUCCUUAUUCCACUUCACUAUACGCCAAUGAGGUUGUGCUAUUGUGUGGUACUGAAGGUGAAUAUUGAGCAAAUUAAGCAAGUAGCUAUGAGACCCGACUGUCAAUAGUUAUGAAUAUUGAGCCAAUCCCUAUCCCUAUCUGUCCCCUUUUCCCACCUUUUUCUGUAAAUUGAGCUACUUAUGAGACUUUCUGUGGUAGGUACAUAUUUUCUUGAUGCAUACAUAUACAAUUAUUUCCUUUUACCCUUUCUUCUAACUGAAAUGCUUGUAGGUUAUUACUUUGUUCUUUUCAACCAAGCAAAUCCUUACCUUGCUGCUUUCUUGUUCCUUCUAAUGUAGACACAAUAUGUUCUAUUACUCUG